rnacentral:rRNA from 1 species
AGUGAACGCUGGCGGUAUGCCUAACACAUGCAAGUCGAACGGCAGCACAGUAAGAGCUUGCUCUUACGGGUGGCGAGUGGCGGACGGGUGAGGAAUACAUCGGAAUCUACUUUUUCGUGGGGGAUAACGUAGGGAAACUUACGCUAAUACCGCAUACUACCUACGGGUGAAAGCAGGGGAUCUUCGGACCUUGCGCGAUUGAAUGAGCCGAUGUCGGAUUAGCUAGUUGGCGGGGUAAAGGCCCACCAAGGCGACGAUACGUAGCUGGUCUGAGAGGAUGAUCAGCCACACUGGAACUGAGACACGGUCCAGACUCCUACGGGAGGCAGCAGUGGGGAAUAUUGGACAAUGGGCGAAAGCCUGAUCCAGCAAUACCGCGUGGGUGAAGAAGGCCUUCGGGUUGUAAAGCCCUUUUGUUGGGAAAGAAAAGCAGCAGGUUAAUACCCCGCUGUUCUGACGGUACCCAAAGAAUAAGCACCGGCUAACUUCGUG